UGGUAAUUCAUUCAAUACAAACUACCCAACAAGCCAAUAUUGAUACACAUUUUUUUUCUCUCCUACAAUACUUAAAUAUUUAGCCUGAACAAAAUAAAAGGAUGGAGCGAUCAAACAAUCUUAUGCUUCACUGUGAUCAACAGGACUAAGGCGUCAAAGAUCACACAAUAAAAGUUAGUCACUCUAUUUUUAAAAUACGUAAAAAUUUUCAAGGUGUUACAAUGAAUUGAUUUAUACCAUAUACAACAGAACCAGACUAAAUACACCAUUCGCUAUUCCAGUAAACCAAACAAGUUGUAGAAUAACAAAAGAUACUAAUGAAUGUUAAAAAGUAAAAGUGGAAAUAUCUCUAUAUAUAUAGAAUAAUAGUGGUCGAGAACAGAUUUUUGAACAGAUUUUUCAAAAAUAUAUUGUGC
rnacentral:lncRNA from 1 species